ensembl:lncRNA LINC02831 long intergenic non-protein coding RNA 2831
AGUUGAGAAGCAAUGCUGUUUCACCUCCCUGAGAGAAUUGCCUUGUUUGUGAAAUACUACAGAAAAACCUGUAUUUUCUCCAGAAAAUGAAAGGUCUUGGCCUGAGUAAAUCAAGGCAGAAAACUCACCCCCGUGAAAGCUGCAGCUCUGAGAGUGUGUGGGCAGGGCUUCAACAGAAUACCUGUGGCUGCACUUACAAAAGGCAGCCAGAAGGACCCGUCCAUUCUGGAAAGUACCUUUAGUCUGAAAGCAUUUAUUGCAGAAAAAAUAUGAGGCUUGCUGGUAGUAUUCCCAGGUGACAAAUGUGCACCCAACACCCUACAGAAAAGAAGAACCAUAAAAUAAUUAAUUAUUCCAUUGUAACUCCUGCCUGGAAAACAUCUGAAAGAAGUCACUAGAUUCAGCCCACAUUCAAGAUGAGAAAUACCAGAAGGCAGAGAACACUGAGGCUGUUUUAGAGGCUGUCAACCCCAGGGAGACAGACAGCAAAUAAGAUGCUUGGAUGUUUUCACACCACUCUGACACAUGGAUGGAAGGUUAGAAGACAACAAAGGAAUGGGCUGGGAAGGACUCCAAAAGCAGAAUCAGAGAUUAUAUCAUUCCUUGGAAAUGGAGAAAAGGAUCAAAAAAGCUGAAUAAAAGGCAAACAUGGAGGAACAGAGUUUGGAGCAAUACCCUGACUUACAUUCAGUACUGUUAAUGGCUCCAGCAUCUUGAAACAAACCAAUUUUGGAUUUUCAGUUUAAUUGUUAUUCUUGAGAAGUCGGCUCUCAGCUGGAAUAUCAUUCCUUUGAAGGUCAUCUCAAUACUGUCUUAACACAUCUGAUCUGAGGUGUAGACCAUUCAAAAGGCAAAGUGAGCAGUCUAUUCUCACUCCUGGAUUCUUCAUUAAAAUAUUAUAUUCCCAGCAUUUCUGUGUCAAAAGUAUUGACUUUGUGCACUACAGAGACCAGCACUACUGGCAUGCUGCAGCAUGUGAUUACCACGUUGACUUCCAGAGCCACAUCCAGCUGGGAACUCAGAAGGAACUAGGCGUGGGGAUGAGGAAUCUAUUCUCUGCAACAAAAGCCUAGAUCAACUCUAUCAAUCAUUAAUAAUAGACAAAGGAUCAUGUUAACGAAGGAUAACACAGAACUCUAAGAAGUCACUUGGUGAAUCUCUUCUGAUCCUAAAGAGGACUGGAUGGAGGAACCACCUGGUGGAGUGAGAAGAGAACAGACAUUCAUCUUCUUGCCAGCAACCUUGCCAGUGACCUUGAACAACUGCAUUUUAAAUGAUUGUUUUAAGAAUAAAAUGAGACAGUCCAGGUAAAACACCAA